CCUAAUAUACAUACACACACUGCCCCCCAAUACACACACACUACUCCCCAAUAUACACACACACACACUGCCUUCCAAUACACACACACUGCACCCCUCACACACCAACUGCCCCCAAUACACACACACCAACUGCCCCCCCAUACACACACACAUUGCCCCAUACAUACACACUGCCACCCAUUUACACACACUACACCCCUCCUGCCCCCAUACACAUACUACACACCUAUACACUCAAACACUGCACCCCUCACACACAAACACACUGCAUUCCACACACACUGCACCCCUCAUACACACACUAC